UCUCCGUUGGUGAACCAGCGGAGGGAUCAUUACUGAGUUUACAACUCCCAAACCCUUUGUGAACAUACCUUUUUGUUGCUUCGGCGGGAUCGCCCCAGCUGCCCCGUGCGCUGGAACCAGGCCCCCGCCGCAAGAUCUUUAAAUCCUGUUUUCUUUAGUGAUAUCCUCUGAAACAGCCUGCAAGGCAAAAAAAUAAAACAAAACUUUCAACAACGGAUCUCUUGGCUCUGGCAUCGAUGAAGAACGCAGC
rnacentral:misc_RNA from 1 species